rnacentral:rRNA from 1 species
AGAUUGAACGCUGGCGGCAUGCCUUACACAUGCAAGUCGAACGGCAGCACGGGAGCAAUCCUGGUGGCGAGUGGCGAACGGGUGAGUAAUACAUCGGAACGUGCCCAAUCGUGGGGGAUAACGCAGCGAAAGCUGUGCUAAUACCGCAUAAGAUCUACGGAUGAAAGCAGGGGAUCGCAAGACCUUGCGCGAAUGGAGCGGCCGAUGGCAGAUUAGGUAGUUGGUGGAGGUAAAGGCUCACCAAGCCUUGAUCUGUAGCUGGUCUGGAGAGGACGACCAGCCACACGUGGGACUGAGACGACCGGCCAGACUCCGUACGGGAGCAGCAGGUGGGUAAUUUGGACAAGUGGGACGAAGCCUAGACUCCAGUCCAGUCGGCCGACGUGACGAGG